rnacentral:SRP_RNA from 1 species
GCCGGGUGCGGUGGUGCGUGUCUGUAGUCCCAGCUACUUGGGAGGCUGAGGUGGGAGGAUCGCUUGAGCCAAGAGUUCUGGGCUGUAGUGCGCUAUGCCUAUCGGGUGUCCAAACUAAGUUUGGCAUCAAUAUGGUGACCUCCCGGGAGUGGGGGACCACCAGGUUGCCUAAGGAGGGGUGACCUAGCCCAGGUCCGAAACGGAGCAGGUCAAAACUCCCCUGCUAAUCAGUAGUGGGAUUGCACCUGUGAAUAGCCACUGUACUCCAGCCUGGGCAACACAGCAAGACCGUGUCUUGU